CCGCACGCAGAAAGUCGAGAUUGCCUGCUUCCAAAGGCACUUUCGUUGAUUACGUGUGCCAUAACAAUGCCAUAGGUAUCAUUCUUCGUCUUCUUAGUCGCGGAACAUCUAAAUAUGGCUAUAAAU
rnacentral:snoRNA from 1 species